rnacentral:rRNA from 1 species
GACGAACGCUUGCGGCGUGCUUAACACAUGCAAGUCGAACGGAAAGGCCCUGCUUUUGUGGGGUGCUCGAGUGGCGAACGGGUGAGUAACACGUGAGUAACCUGCCCUUGACUUUGGGAUAACUUCAGGAAACUGGGGCUAAUACCGGAUAGGAGCUCCUGCUGCAUGGUGGGGGUUGGAAAGUUUCGGCGGUUGGGGAUGGACUCGCGGCUUAUCAGCUUGUUGGUGGGGUAGUGGCUUACCAAGGCUUUGACGGGUAGCCGGCCUGAGAGGGUGACCGGCCACAUUGGGACUGAGAUACGGCCCAGACUCCUACGGGAGGCAGCAGUGGGGAAUAUUGCACAAUGGGCGGAAGCCUGAUGCAGCAACGCCGCGUGCUGGAUGACGGCCUUCGGGUUGUAAACCGCUUUCGCCUGUGACGAAGCGUGAGUGACGGUAAUGGGUAAAGAAGCACCGGCUAACUACGUGCCAGCAGCCGCGGUGAUACGUAGGGUGCGAGCGUUGUCCGGAUUUAUUGGGCGUAAAGGGCUCGUAGGUGGUUGAUCGCGUCGGAAGUGUAAUCUUGGGGCUUAACCCUGAGCGUGCUUUCGAUACGGGUUGACUUGAGGAAGGUAGGGGAGAAUGGAAUUCCUGGUGGAGCGGUGGAAUGCGCAGAUAUCAGGAGGAACACCAGUGGCGAAGGCGGUUCUCUGGGCCUUUCCUGACGCUGAGGAGCGAAAGCGUGGGGAGCGAACAGGCUUAGAUACCCUGGUAGUCCACGCUGUAAACGGUGGGUACUAGGUGUGGGGUCCAUUCCACGGGUUCCGUGCCGUAGCUAACGCUUUAAGUACCCCGCCUGGGGAGUACGGCCGCAAGGCUAAAACUCAAAGGAAUUGACGGGGCCCCGCACAAGCGGCGGAGCAUGCGGAUUAAUUCGAUGCAACGCGUAGAACCUUACCUGGGUUUGACAUGGAUCGGGAGUGCUCAGAGAUGGGUGUGCCUCUUUUGGGGUCGGUUCACAGGUGGUGCAUGGCUGUCGUCAGCUCGUGUCGUGAGAUGUUGGGUUAAGUCCCGCAACGAGCGCAACCCUUGUUCACUGUUGCCAGCACGUUAUGGUGGGGACUCAGUGGAGACCGCCGGGGUCAACUCGGAGGAAGGUGGGGAUGACGUCAAGUCAUCAUGCCCCUUAUGUCCAGGGCUUCACGCAUGCUACAAUGGCUGGUACAGAGAGUGGCGAGCCUGUGAGGGUGAGCGAAUCUCGGAAAGCCGGUCUCAGUUCGGAUUGGGGUCUGCAACUCGACCUCAUGAAGUCGGAGUCGCUAGUAAUCGCAGAUCAGCAACGCUGCGGUGAAUACGUUCCCGGGGCU